GUGAAAAAGGCCUGUUGAACACACUGGCAUCUGGAAGCUUCAGAGUAAAACUACAGACCUGAGCAGCUCCAGUGGAGCAGUUGGGACUCUCCAGUUCAUCAGCCAUGGACAGAACGGUGCUGCUGGUCCUGUUGUGUCUGCAGGCUUUCCUGCUCAUCACGGCCUUCACUUCUCUUGAUGCAGCCGCUCUGGUGAAAGAUGAUAAACAACAACUUUCUCCUGAUCAGGAAAAAAGACCAAGGUUGAAAUUUAGGAAGAAGAGAGGCUGUGAAAACAUGGCAGGAGCAUGUGACCCUUUUGGCAAGCAGAACUAAAGGAUUUGAAAUUGACUACUGAUGUCCGAACCUCAUCCGACCUCCACUCCUCAUCAAUCAUACUGUAAAUCAUCAACCCAAGAACAGAUCUCAUCUGUGUAAAAUCAUUUUCUGCAAACAUGUUGCAUUAUGGUAUAUAUUUGAAUAAAUGUGAGUUUUAAUGACAAAAACCCUGUUUCAGUAAAUGCAUUAAUAGAAAAUCUUUUAAGAUGCUAAAAUAACUAAUGUCUAUUUCCUAUGAUAAACGAUGAUCGGUGGGGGGAAGUAACUGAGUAGAUUUACUCAAUAACUAUACUUAACUGGAAAUUUGAUGUACUUGUACUUGACUUGAGUAGUGCCAUUUUUAUUGUAUUUUAUACAUUGUACGUUUCACUCGACUAUAUUGAUCUGACAGAUCUAGUCAAAUGUCUUUACUGAAAUAAAGGAUCUGAAUACUU